GGGCCUGUAGCCUAGUCUGGAUAGGGCGGUCGGCUUCGGACCGGCUGGCGGGGGUUCAAAUCCCUCCAGGCUCA
rnacentral:tRNA from 1 species